CUGUCGGGUUUCCUUCUCUGCUGAAAACAGCCGACAGGAAAGUAAUUACAGAAGCAGAUGUGACUUGUGACGUAAAUGUUACUUCUGGCCAUUUUUUGCCUUUUUUUUUUAACUAAUCCAACAGAGUGAUUCCAAAGCAAAAGUCAACUGGUACAUGAGACAUAUGAGCCUAUGGUGGUAAUUUCAAGCUUUUCCUUGGCUCAGUCAGGUCCAGGGACAAUUUGCAAUACCUUACCAAUCAUUCUUUCAAAUUAAAUUAGUCAGUAAGAGAAAUUUUCAGAGCAGCUUCAAUAUGUGCAUCCCAUGUAACUGCCUGCAAUGAAUCCCACCACUCUGUCCACUGACUUACUGAUGUCUCUGUCCUGAGCAAGAUAUUGAAGCGUUCCUUGUAAUCCUUUGGAUUAAUAAAUCAGUAAGUAUUUUCCAUCUCAUGUUUCUUUUCAAGACAAGUUAAUUCCAUAGCCUAAAGACUUAAAGUAAAGCUGAAUUUAACUAUUUAGGUCUUUUAAAUCACCUCAUUUUCAGGAUAUCAUGUGAUUUCUGCUGCAUCAGAUGGAGCUGUAGCAAAGUGUUUGUAAGCUCUCUAGAUGCUCACUUGUCCUGGUGUUUUGUAAGGAUGAGCCCAGUGAGCCAUCGAGUUUGAUCUCCCUCUGUGUCCGUGUUGAGGCCAGCAGUCUGAAUGACCACCGGUCCCUUGGCACAGCCCCUCGCCCGAGUAGUCUUGUAUCAGUGAGUCACCUGGGGCUGUAAACUGUCCCCCCAGACAGCUGCAGCCCAAGACCUUGUAUCUUCCUGCACCAACAACUGGAUGUGUCCCUGAGCUUCCCUGAUGCCAAUGCAGCAGUGCUUUGAUGCUGGCCUUCAGCUACACACCAGCCUUGGAGUCUCAGAGAGAGCAGUAAACACAACUGUUGGAGCCCCAGUAGUCAGACCCUGAGGAUGCUCAUCUCUUCAUGCACAAGACUUUAAUUCUUCCCAAACUCACCUGGCAAUGUCUGCCCAAAACUGGAUGCACAGGCUGUUACCGACUGACCAACCACCAGCCAGUGGCAGAGCCAGGUCCAAUGUUUCAGAAAGUCAGAGGACCCAGUCCCUUGAUGAUGGAUCCCAUUGGGUUGCCUCUAGUUAGGCAGCCACUAUCACCAGCUCCUUUUGGAAAUAAGACCUUUAUUUAAGCCACAGAAAAAAUAUCUUCCUUCCACCUGGCCUGGCUGAGGGACAGCGAUUAAAACCCGUAUCUUUCUCACUCACAUAUCCUGUCUAUGGAGCUAUUGAGAAAACGUAUGUCCUUGGGAGCUGUUGAUAAAAAUAAAAGGUUUGUCUUUCAAUAGGAUUUAACA
rnacentral:lncRNA from 1 species